AUGUCCGAACCUGAGUUGCAGCUGGUGGCGCUGCGAAUUGGCAGCUUCCCUGACUUCCCCAUCCCGGGCAUGCUGUUCAGGGAUAUCGCACCCUGUACUUCUUCUGAGCCUCCAUCCACCUCCUGGCCAGUCACUUGAAGUCCACGCACAAUACAAGAUCGACUACAUCGCAGAUCUAGACUCCAGGGGCUUCCUUUUUGGCCCUUUCCUAGCUCAAGAGCUUGGCAUGGGCUGUGUCCUCAUCUGGAAGCACGGGAAGCUGUGGAGCCCCACUGUGUCAGCCUACUAUGCUCUGGAGUAUGAGAAGGCUGAGCUGGAAAUCCAGAAAGAUGCCUUAGAACCCGAGCAGAAAGUGGUCGUUGUGGAUGAUCUCCCAGCCACUGGAGGAACCAUGUGUGCGGCUUGUGAGCUGCUGAACUAGCUACCAGCUGAGGUGGUGGAAUGUGUGAGCUUGGUGGAGCGGACCUCCCUGAAAGGCAGGGGGAAGCUAGGACCCAUACCGUUUUCACAACACAGUCAUAAAAGAACACAUACUGCACAGAAACCUUAUGAAUAUAAUCAAAGUGACCUGCUGAGCCUGAUCCAUACAGGUGAGCUUCCCUUCCCCGACUCAUCCUUGAUGGGUCCUCUGGAGCAGAGAUACCCUGAGCAGCCUGAUAUCCCAAGAAAACCUCCAUUCUCCUGCUACCUCUGCUCCCACCUUCAUCAGACCUGCUGA